UACAGAGGGGGCAAGCGUUGUUCGGAAUUACUGGGCGUAAAGGGCGCGUAGGCGGCCUGCUAAGUCGAACGUGAAAUCCCUGGGCUCAACCCAGGAACUGCGUCCGAUACUGGUUGGCUUGAAUCCGGGAGAGGGAUGCGGAAUUCCAGGUGUAGCGGUGAAAUGCGUAGAUAUCUGGAGGAACACCGGUGGCGAAGGCGGCAUCCUGGACCGGCAUUGACGCUGAGGCGCGAAAGCGUGGGGAGCAAACAGG
rnacentral:rRNA from 1 species